GAUGAAGAACGCAGCGAAAUGCGAUAAGUAAUGUGAAUUGCAGAAUUCAGUGAAUCAUCGAAUCUUUGAACGCACAUUGCGCCCGUCAGUAUUCUGGCGGGCAUGCCUGUUCGAGCGUCAUUACGCCCCUCGUCCCCUGUGGACUUGGUGUUGGGGAUCGGCGAGGCUGGUUUUCCAGCACAGCCGUCCCUUAAAUUAAUUGGCGGUCUCGCCGUGGCCCUCCUCUGCGCAGUAGUAAAACACUCGCAACAGGAGCCCGGCGCGGUCCACUGCCGUAAAACCCCCCAACUUUUUAUAGUUGACCUCGAAUCAGGUAGGACUACCCGCUGAACUUAAGCAUAUCAAUAAGCGGAGGA
rnacentral:misc_RNA from 1 species